CUUCUUCGGAAGUGAUUAAAGUGGCGCACGGGUGAGUAACGCGUAGACAAUCUGCCCUUCAGUCCGGGACAACUUUCCGAAAGGAGAGCUAAUACCGGAUAAUAGUGUUUAACAUAAGUUGAAUAUUUGAAAGCUCCGGCGCUGAUGGAUGAGUCUGCGUCCCAUUAGCUUGUUGGUGUGGUAGUGGCGCACCAAGGCUACGAUGGGUAGCGGGUUUGAGAGGACGAUCCGCCACACUGGAACUGAGACACGGUCCAGACUCCUACGGGAGGCAGCAGUGGGGAAUAUUGCACAAUGGAGGAAACUCUGAUGCAGCAAUGCCGCGUGAGUGAAGAAGGCCCUUGGGUCGUAAAGCUCUUUUAUGGGGGAAGAUUAUGACGGUACCCCAGGAAUAAGCACCGGCUAACUACGUGCCAGCAGCCGCGGUAAUACGUAGGGUGCGAGCGUUGUUCGGAAUUACUGGGCGUAAAGGGCGCGCAGGCGGAGGUGCAAGUCGGAGGUGAAAGCCCGGGGCUCAACCCCGGAGGGUCUUUCGAAACUGCAUCUCUAGAGAGGGUCAGGGGCCGGCAGAAUUCCUGGUGUAGAGGUGAAAUUCGUAGAUAUCAGGAGGAAUACCGGUGGCGAAAGCGGCCGGCUGGGGCCACUCUGACGCUGAGGCGCGAAAGCGUGGGGAGCAAACAGGAUUAGAUACCCUGGUAGUCCACGCCGUAAACGAUGAGCACUGGACGUUCGGAGGGUUCGACCCUU
rnacentral:rRNA from 1 species